rnacentral:lncRNA from 1 species
UGACAGCUGUUCAAUGAGGGAUUAUGAUGUCACAGUGGUAAUUACACUAUAAACAGGGGAUAGGGGGAGAAUAAAGCAUGAAAGAGAACCCUGGGCUUGUUACCAGGCAACACAAAAUAUGCAACCUGAAACCAGGCAAGCAUGUAAAUUUCCUUACAAGCCUCCCAGAUGUCCUCACUUUAUGGCCAAUGCUCAGUUUCAGUUUCAAUUUGUUUAUUUGCCCUUCUCAGUCACAAAUGUGGAGCUGAGAAUGCUGGAAGAGAGAAGAGAAAGCAAGGAAUAAAAAGACAAGGAGGGACCCUCCUUUCUCCCCUGAGUGUGAAACCACGUGCACAGAAGAGUUCUCGCUGCAUGGGGCCCGCUUGGGAAUUGGAGGACUUAUCAAUAUGA